AGAAAAAAAAAAAAUCCAACAUCAAACCAAAGGCACGGAAGGCAGAGAGCGGCGCCGCUGACAGCUCCCCCGCCCGGCCGCCCCUCGCCCCGCAGGGCCCGGCCCGUGACUCGGCUGUUUCUGCCGGUUCCUCCUCUCCCUCCGCCCGCCGGGGGCCGGGCGCAGGAAGGGGCGGGCGGCGGCGCAGGGAGGCAGCCGACGCACAAGAUGGCCGCUGCUGCAGCGGCGGCGGAGGGGGCGGCGGCGGGGCGGUGGGAGGCGGCGGGGGGAGCCCGGAGCCGGCGGGUGCAGGAGGCGGAGGGCGCCGCGGCCGCCCCGGCGUGCCGCAGCUGAGGGGGGCCGGAGGCCGCAGCCGGGAGCCCGGCCCGUGUGGUGAGUGCGGCUUCCCUCUGCCCCUCACCGCGGCGGGGAGCGGGGCGGCGGGGAGCGGAGCCGGCCCCGGCCCCGGCCCCGGCCCCGGCCCCGGGGUGCCGCUGAGGGCGGGCGGGCCGUGCCGGCGUCCCGCGGGGUGCGGCGGAGGGGAGGGCGCGGCUCUCGGGCCCGCUUUCGCUAGGCCUCGGGCUUCGCCGGGCUCCAUUUCCGAGCGCCCCGGGAGGGAGGGAGGGAGCCGGCGAGGCGACGCGAGGGGGGAGGGGAGGCCCGCCGGUUGGGUCCGGCCGGGGGGUGUCGCCUCAGGCUGCGGCGGGGAGGGAGUGAAGGAGGGGGGUGGCGGCUUUGUGCGCGGCCCAUGUCCGCUGCCGCCCUUCCCGAGGGCCGUGCGGGACGGAGGAGGACCGGCGGCCAUCCGCGCGUUGCUCCGGCACGGCUCGCAGAGAGCGGCCCGGCGGCGAGGCCGGAGCCGCCCCCCACCCCGCAGUCGCCCUUUUGUCUGCGGCCCCGAGGGAAGCGCGGAGCCGACAGCCGGCACUUUCACUGCUUUUUCACCCCGCGUUACGUUAGGAUUGCGGCGUGAUUCUCACGGUCAGGGUUUGCGGCCGGCUGCGCGAGUUGCGGUGGCUGGGAG
rnacentral:lncRNA from 1 species